rnacentral:rRNA from 1 species
UACGUAGGGUCCAAGCGUUAUCCGGAAUCACUGGGCGUAAAGCGUGCGUAGGUGGAUAGUUAAGUGCAACAUUAAAUCCCGUGGCUCAACCAUGUGGCUGUGUUGCAUACUGGCUGUCUAGAGGACAUGAGAGGCAAGUGGAAUUACUGGUGUAGCAGUGAAAUGCGUAGAUAUCAGUAGGAACACCAGUGGCGAAGGCGGCUCACUGGCCCGGUACUGACGCUGAGGUGCGAAAGCGUGGGGAGCAAACAGG